AUAUAAGCGACUAUACUGUGAAACUGCGAAUGGCUCAUUAAAUCAGUUAUGGUUUAUUUGAUGGUACCUUGCUACUUGGAUAACCGUAGUAAUUCUAGAGCUAAUACAUGCAGGAGUUCCCGACUCACGGAGGGAUGUAUUUAUUAGAUAAGAAACCAAACCGGUCUCCGGUUGCGUGCUGAGUCAUAAUAACUGCUCGAAUCGCACGGCUCUACGCCGGCGAUGGUUCAUUCAAAUUUCUGCCCUAUCAGCUUUCGAUGGUAGGAUAGAGGCCUACCAUGUUUUUCUACGGUAAUUUGGUUCAGUACGAGAG
rnacentral:ncRNA from 1 species